rnacentral:rRNA from 1 species
CUAAAUAGGAUUCCCUUAGUAAUGGCGAACGAACCAGGGAUGAGCUCGGCUUGGAAACUGGGGCCUUGGCCUUGGAUUGUAGCCUCUAGACAUAGUGCCAACGGAGGCGCAGGUGCAAGCCUCUUGGAAAAGAGCAUCAAUGUGGGUGAGAAUCCUGUGUUUCACUUGCAGUCCACCGUGCACGGCACAUGUUCUCAGAGUCGCGUUCCUCGGAAUUGGAGCGUAAAGUGGGUGGUAAAUUUCAUCUAAAGCUAAAUAUAGGCUUGAGACCGAUAGCAAACAAGUACCAUGAGGGAAAGAUGAAAAGGACUUUGAAAAGAGAGUUAAAAGUGCUUGAAAUCGCUGAAAGGGAAGCGAAUGGAACCAGUCUUCUGGCUGAGAUUGCUGCAUGCUACUGUGAUGCCUGGCUGCUUCAACGCAAGUGUUGUAGUUAGAGUUGAUCAGCUGCGUGUGGUGUUUCUCAGCUUGUUAGUCAACCUCUGUUUGCGCUUGGGGAUAGCCUCAGGUACACGUCGCUUCUCUGCGGAGUUGCUCCUGUGCUUGUAGGGACUCAGGUGCAUACUUUUGGUGACAAAAUGGUUCUCUUCGACCCGUCUUGAAACACGGACCAAGGAGUCUAGCACAUGUGCAAGUUCACAGGUGGCAAGCCUGCUUGCGCAAUGAAGGUGACUGCUGGGAUAUUUGCACCAGCAACCGACCAAUCAAUUGAG